rnacentral:lncRNA from 1 species
AUUGCAUAAUGCAGUAGCCACUGGAUUUGCAGCAGAAACACUCUGCUACAGAACAAGUGUCUUGGUUCACAGCAAAGAGGACAAAGAAAACAGCAAGUUUUAGGGGGUUGAAUCCUGGAUUCCCCUGGCAAACACCAUUCUACUUUCCGUCUCUAUGAAUUUGACUACUCGAAGUACCUCAUUAAAAGAAGAGAAAAAACAUCAAUUAGAAAAUAGAAAAGAGCCCUCCCUGGUGAAUUCCUGCUUCUCCUCCAUGUCAUCAUAGGUGUUGAUGGUGCUUGCCUCUGGAUAAUGCUGACUUCCUCUAGAGUGGUCACCAAGGUGAAAUGUUGGUGCCAAAUGAACUUUUCUGGUUCUUCUGAAUAUGCCACUGUUGCUGGAGAAAUGUCACUGCUAGAGAACAGAAGACUAUUAUUCCAAAGGGUAUUUGAGACUGACUGAAUCAGGUCUGGAACAUUAUUGAAAUGAGACCCACAAAAGAAGAGAUACUGAGUGUAACUGGAUCUUGGUUCAUGCUGAGCUUAAAAUUUGAUCUUCUGAAUAUCAGCAGAAAGACUCUUUCUGGUGAAUACAGAUCUUCUGAGCAAUUAUCGACUGACUUUGUCAUUAGACUGCCCUUUCAGAAGGUACAAAAAAAGAAAAAGAAAAUUACUACUGUGAAGUGAAGUCUGAGCAACUGGGAAGAAAUGCAAGGUGAAAUGAAAUGGUGAAGGUGGUGACCAGAUGGAUAUAAACGGGCUGUGGAAAAAGAGAAUGCAUGGCCAAAAAUGGUGGUGCUCUCUGUCCAAAAACUGAGGCCCUAUGACCAUGAAUGAAGCCAGAGGGCAGGUAGGAAUAGAUCAUUUGCUCCAGAAGAAGCUGGUUGCCAUGUCUUGAGGACAGUAAACCCUCUGGGGAGGUUCCUGUGGUAAGGAACAAGGGCUCCUGGCAAUAGCCUCUGAGUGAGCCACCUUGAAAAUGGAUUGUCCAGCCCCAGUCAAGCUUUCAGAUGACUGUAGCUCCUGCCAAUGUCUUCACCACAACCUCAUGAGAUCCCAAGCUACAACCACUCAGAACUUCAUCUUUUGGGAAGCACCAGGGAGAGCUGCCUGUGCCUGGCAGAAGCUGCCCAUGCCCCACUGAUACCCCACAGUACUUCCUGUUCUGCUUAGUACUCCUGCUUCUUUCUACAAACAACUGUGAUUCUCUACCUGGGAGCUUCCUCUGGCCACAGGAGCCUGCUCACCUGAUUGGGACACCCUAGCAGUACUGGCUCAUAGAUGGAAGGGACUUGCCUUGUCGCUGAUGAGACUUUCGACUUGGACUUUUGAGUCAAUGCUGGAAUGAGUUAAGACUUUGGGGAACUGUUGGAAGGGUGUGAUUGUGUUUUGAAUUGUGAGGACAUGAGAUUUUGAAGAGGCUAAUGGCAGCGUCCCCACCUAAAUCUCUUCUUGAAUUGUAGUUCCCAUAAUCCCCACGUGUCGUGGGGUGGAGCCGGUGGAGAUAAUUGAAUCAUGGGAACACUUUCCCCCAUGCUGUUAUUGUGAUUGUGAAUUCUCACGAGAUCUGAUGGUUGUAUAAACGCCUUCCCUCUUCGCUGGGCACUCAUUUUUCUCCUUCCUGCCACCAUGUGAAGAAGGAUAUGCUUGCUUCUUGUGCCAUGAUUACAAGAACACACUCAGAAAUUUUCUCAACACAGUUUCUAUGCAGAGAAGAGAUGUGGGACAGAUUUGAACUGCUGUCAUAUUUGUAUGAACCCAAGACAUUUUCCAAGACCAAGAGGGAUAAAGACAGCAAUUUCUAUGACUGGCAUUUUACGUGCAUGCACUGUUUCCAAGUGUUCUUGUGUUCUGUGCCUUAAACAUUCUGUGUUGCAACUUUAUGAAUUGAAUUAAAGAUAAUCCCAAGCCCCCAAUUGUCUCAAAAAGUGAAAAAGUAAAUGUUAUAGAAAGAAAAGCGGGAAAAACUUUAAGCAUGAAAUAAAAGAUGGGUUGUGAUAAAAGAGGACUGAAGAAGGAAAAGGAAUGAAAGGUUCUGCCAUCCUUCAUGGCAGCCCACUCCACUUGGUAUGAGAUACUGCUCCCUUGGCUGAAAGUUAACUGCUGUACUCCCUCCACUUUCUAUAAAUGACUCCCUGUGCCUUUCCUUCACCACACAACUCACACUCUCUUCCUUCCUAGUGAGUCCACUAAGGCUUCACUGCAUUAUUACAUUUAUUUCAUUUAGGAAAAACUGACUUUAUUUUCCUUCAAAUUGUUUUUUAUUGUUUAUAUGAGCUUGGUUUUAUUGUCAUUCUAUUUUUCUCCAUGAAAAUAGAGAAAAAUAGGGUCGAAAGGUUAGGUUGGGUGGAAAGGAAUUAUAUUUUUUCUCACUAAAAUUGAUGUAAAUAUCGUUUUCAAUUGAAUGAUUUUACACAGUGGCACAGUUUCAGGUAUGUUGCUAAGCAGGAAAGUUGUUAACCAAAGCAUGAAUGUAUUAAGGAGAUGUAUGCAGAAUGACAUGCAAGGUUAUCUAUGAUUGCUGAGUGAGAAAGAGCAAGUUGCUGAGUAUUAUAUAAGUAUGAUCUCACUUUUGUAAAAAAAAAAAAAAAAAAAGGCCUGGACUGAUCUGAAAUGACCCUAUUAAUAACAAUUAUGUCCAGGUCUGUAUUGCAUACUUGUCAUUCAUUACAGGAUCUUGAGACACAAUGCAAAGGAUCACAUCGCAGCUCUGUAACUUGUUAACUAUAAGAUUUUGAGUAACAUAACACCUUACUCCUUAAAAUUGCUUAAAAAAAAUCUGAACAUCAGGAAUAUUCUACUUCACAGGGUCGUUGUGAUAAUUAAAUGUAGUAAUCAAUGACAAUAGUGCCAGAUACAGUAGAUAGCCUACACUUUGCAGCUACUAUUUCUAUCUAUCAUCCAUCUAUUAAUAUAUAUCAUCUAUCUUUAACUUAUCAUCUAUCUUGUUCCAGUUUUUUAAAAUGAACAUGUAUUAACUUUGUAAAAAAUUAAGGCUAUAAGAUGUGCUGAGCUUUUGGAAUAGAUUUUCCUGUAC